rnacentral:lncRNA from 1 species
CGUAAUUUUAAGAAUUUUGACCGGCCAAGUCGCGGACUGGGCAACGGAGGUGACCUGUCCACAAACAGGACAAAAAAUUUGCCCAGUUUUCGGACUGGACAAUAUCGCCCGGGGGUGUAACAUAAGCAUUUCCCAAAAAUGGUGUGCACAAAUAUUCGAUGACAUUCUCUGGAAAAAGUAAUCUACGAAUAGAAAUUUUCGAGUCCCGAAGAGAGAAGUUGGGCACCACAUCAAGGAGGUGAAAGAUGACUUCAAACAUUUCAGGCCAAAGGACAAAAAGGAGUGCCCAACCUUUUAUUCAUGACUCCGUCAACUUUUUAUGAAGUUUCAUUCUUCGGAAGUACGUUUGAAAACAAACAAUAAUUACGGGGUUCGAUUGACAAUCUUUGCUGUGAUCAAGUCGUUUCCUGUGACCGAGAUGAUUAGCUUGAUAAUAAAUACAACCGUCCUCGGAAGUUCAAGUGGUCAGUAAAACUUUGUGUGUCAAACUGACUCUCCUGCACCGCAGCAUCUCUAUCAAUCCGACGUAAGUGCGCACAUUGGAUACUAUAAUUCUUCAUAAUACUUCAACUCUUUGCGCAGAAAUGCUCCACAUGACGAAAAGUUCGAUUUCAUCAUUGCCUCUUAGACACGCG